CCUACGGGAGGCAGCAGUGGGGAAUAUUGCACAAUGGGGGAAACCCUGAUGCAGCGACGCCGCGUGAGUGAAGAAGUAUCUCGGUACGUAAAGCUCUAUCAGCAGGGAAGAAAAUGACGGUACCUGACUAAGAAGCCCCGGCUAACUACGUGCCAGCAGCCGCGGUAAUACGUAGGGGGCAAGCGUUAUCCGGAUUUACUGGGUGUAAAGGGAGCGUAGACGGCAGCACAAGUCUGGAGUGUAAUUCCGGGGCUCAACCUCGGCGCUACCGCCAAAACUAUUAGACUAGAGUGCAGGAGGGGUAAGUGGAAUUCCUAGUGUAGCGGUGGAAUGCGUAGAUAUUAGGAGGAACAUCAGGGGCGAAGGCGACUUACUGGACUGUAACUGACACUGAGGCACGAAAGCGUGGGGAGCAAACAGGAUUAGAUACCCGAGUAGUC
rnacentral:rRNA from 1 species